CUUGCCUUUGUUUUAGCUAUGUCAAGUGUCUUUCAAAUCCUGAAUUGCUUACUAUUCAGGUUGAUUUUAGAAUUCUAAGAUUAACUCAGGCCAAAUAGUUGGCAUGUUUCCAUAUAUAAAUAGUUUAUUUGCUUUCAAU